GUAUUAGUGUUCAGGUGCUCUGUAUUAAUGCAGUGUUAGUGCUAUAUAAUAGUGCGGUGUUCGUGUUUAGGUGCUCUGUAUUAAUGCAGUGUUAGUGCUCUGUACUGAUGUCGUAUUAGUGUUCAGGUGCUCUGUAUUGAUGCAGUGUUAGUGUUUAGAUGCUAUAUAAUAGUGCGGUGUUCGUGUUUAGGUGCUCUGUAUUAAUGCAGUGUUAGUAUUUAGUUGCUCUGUGUUCAUGCAGUGUUAGU